rnacentral:rRNA from 1 species
UGAACUGUCUUUACUACCUUGAAGGUGCUCGGUCUCCUCUGAUCUCAGGGGCAAAGCAGGGUCAGGCCUGCUUAGUGCAUACAUGGGUAGUUAUCUCUU